GAGCCGUGAGCAACCGCGCGUUUCUGGGCAAUGUGAGUGGUCUGCGUGCAGUCGCCAUCGCUCCCAAGCAAUUGCAGGUGAGUGCUUUCACUAUCAGGGCCGGAGCUGCUGGGAAGUACCAGGUCAUCGAGCCAUUGAAUGGUGACCCCUUCAUCGGAGGACUGGAGACACCCGUGACCAGCAGCCCCCUCAUCGCGUGGUACCUGUCCAACUUGCCCGCUUACCGCACCGCCGUGGCUCCCUUGCUGCGCGGUGUGGAGAUUGGCCUUGCCCAUGGGUAUUUGCUGGUGGGUCCCUUCGUCCUUGCAGGACCUCUUCGCAACAGUGCUGUGAGGGGUGAGGCUGGAAGUCUUGCCGCUGCUGGCCUUGUUGCCAUUCUCACUAUGUGCCUCACCAUCUAUGGCAUUGCCUCCUUCAAGGAAGGCGAGGCCUCCAAGGCUCCCAGCCUCACCCUCACGGGAAGGCAAAAGGCUGCCGAUAAGCUGCAGACUGCUGAGGGAUGGGCCGGAUUCACCGGUGGGUUUUUCUUCGGCGGUCUAUCGGGCGUGGCCUGGGCGUACAUCCUGCUCUACGUCCUCAACCUCCCAUACCCCGUCAAGUAGAUUGAUUUGUCGACAGCCUUGCCAUGAGCAAUACACUUUGUAAUCUGGUUCUGAUUUUAACGCCAAUCCCAACAAGUUUCGCUGUUUACACCUAUUGUCGUAUCUUCGCCUCCAAUUGACUGGAUUCCACAUUCCAGUCAAUCUCUGACUGUUUCUCUCCAAUGUGUAGUGUCUCAGCAAUAUCAAUUCCACAGGGUUACCCGAGCGGAGUCUCGGGUUUCUAUCUGUUUCUGUUGUGGUUUUGUGGUCCGGCUACAUCAGCAUUACCACGUCUCAUACACAGUCGUAAUGACAAUGUCAUCCGCCGUCUCAGUAGUCUGAGUAUUCGAGAAUCUGGAUGAGUGUUUACUCCACGCCGGAUAACUCCUAAAGUGCUUGUAUACUCUCAGCCGUGAUUGAAUUGUCUUUUAGUGCGAUACAAUGCGCUGUGGACUCGUGUGCCUCUUCGUACUAGCUGAGAAAUUAUGUCUGUGAAAUCAACCCAUGGAUGUUAACCUGCGAGUGAAGCGAUUCACUGUAACAGCAAUCGGUGAUCUGCACAAUUUAUGUACCUUAUCCUUGUCGAUCAGUCGUAAUAGUGGUAAAAGAAUUAAUGUGGUAUGCAUCCACUUCAUUGUAACAGAAUUCAACAUGUGCUCUAAUGUUCAAGCCAAAAGGUUCAUUCUACGUGUUUUCAUGGUUUGUUUGAGUUUGCUACAUCUGAAAUAAGGCUGCAAGAAAAUAAUCAAGUAAAUUGCUCAUUUCAGAGGUAAGAAUUCAUGUCUGAAACCAAUCUAGUUGUUUGAAAUUUGUGUAUUUCUAAGGGCACUGGACAAUAUCGGCCCCUAAUGGUUGAAAUGGAACCGAACUAAUGUAUGCGAAGUUUGUUUCAAUAUUUUAUGGUUGAUGUGUUGUUCAGGAGCAAAGUGUUGCUGAUGUUUAGCAAACUUGAAAGAAUAACAGUUGAAGGGCUGAAAGUCUGCCUUGUCUCUUGGGAGUCUGCUGUCGGGUUUCGAACCCGGGUCGCUCGGCUGAGAAGUACAGUGUCCCAACUUUGAAGACCCCUCCGGAGUUAAAAAGUCAGCAUCGAAGUGCUGUUCAGGUGCCGUGGCACGUUGUUAUUGGCUAACCGCCUGGGAAAGGGGAUGCGGCCAUAACGGUAAUGCACUCCCGUUUUGGCCACUUGGCUAGAUGUUUAUCCUAAUUGUUGGAGUAGGCCUAAGCCGUGUGUAACAGAUCAAAG
rnacentral:lncRNA from 1 species